rnacentral:rRNA from 1 species
UAACACGUAGUCAACCUACCUUUCCGUCCGGGAUAACUAGCCGAAAGGUUAGCUAAUACCUGAUGCGACCAUCGAGCGGCAUCGUUUGAUGAUGAAAGCAGUAAUGCGCGGAUUGAGGGGGCUGCGGCCCAUUAGCUAGUUGGUGAGGUAACGGCCCACCAAGGCUACGAUGGGUAGCUGGUCUGAGAGGACGACCAGCCACACUGGGACUGAGACACGGCCCAG